rnacentral:rRNA from 1 species
GACAGAGGGUGCAAACGUUUGUUCGGAAUUACUGGGCGUAAAGCGCGUGUAGGCUGCCCCGCAAGUCGGAUGUGAAAGCCCUGGGCUCAACCCAGGAAGUGCAUUCGAAACUGCGGGGCUGGAGUCCUGGAGAGGAAGGCGGAAUUCUCGGUGUAGAGGUGAAAUUCGUAGAUAUCGAGAGGAACACCGGUGGCGAAGGGCGGCCUUCUGGACAGUGACGUGACGCUGAGACG